GGGCGUGUGGCUCAGUUGGUAGAGCGUUCGCUUAGCAUACUCAAGUCCCUUGACUAAAUAUCAGGGAUCCCAUUGUAUGCGAAAGGUCCUGGGUUCGAUUCCCAGCUCGUCCA
rfam:Podospora anserina genomic DNA, chromosome 1.